rnacentral:rRNA from 1 species
UACGUAGGGGGCAAGCGUUGUCCGGAUUUUAUUGGGCGUAAAGAGCGUGUAGGCGGCCAUACAGGUCAGCUGUGAAAACUCGAGGCUCAACCUCGAGACGUCGGUUGAAACCGUAUGGCUAGAGUCCGGAAGAGGAGAGUGGAAUUCCCGGUGUAGCGGUGAAAUGCGCAGAUAUCGGGAAGAACACCCGUGGCGAAGGCGGCUCUCUGGGACGGUACUGACGCUGAGACGCGAAAGCGUGGGGAGCGAGCAGG